rnacentral:rRNA from 1 species
GGAAGGGGUGUAUUUAUUAGAUAAAAAACCAAUGCCCUUCGGGGCUCCUUGGUGAAUCAUAAUAACUUAACGAAUCGCAUGGCCUUGCGCCGGCGAUGGUUCAUUCAAAUUUCUGCCCUAUCAACUUUCGAUGGUAGGAUAGUGGCCUACCAUGGUGGCAACGGGUAACGGGGAAUUAGGGUUCGAUUCCGGAGAGGGAGCCUGAGAAACGGCUACCACAUCCAAGGAAGGCAGCAGGCGCGCAAAUUACCCAAUCCCGACACGGGGAGGUAGUGACAAUAAAUACUGAUACGGGGCUCUUUUGGGUCUCGUAAUUGGAAUGAGUACAAUCUAAAUCCCUUAACGAGGAACAAUUGGAGGGCAAGUCUGGUGCCAGCAGCCGCGGUAAUUCCAGCUCCAAUAGCGUAUAUUAAAGUUGUUGCUGUUAAAAAGCUCGUAGUUGAACCUUGGGUCUGGCUGGCCGGUCCGCCUCACCGCGAGUACUGGUCCGGCUGGACCUUUCCUUCUGGGGAAUCUCAUGGCCUUCACUGGCUGUGGGGGGAACCAGGACUUUUAC